CAAUUAACACGACCCUCGUGUUUGUCAACAGCACCUAUAAAUUUUGACACUGAUGGAAAAGCUGGAUAAUUACCCUGCAGAAUUAUAACGUCAAUGUCGACGGUGACAAAAGCUUAGGUUUGUUAUCCACCUGGAGAACGAAUAGGAGCCCUGUCGACUUUGAGGCUUUGGCCUGUACCAGGACCAAGUCAUUGACAAACCGACAAUAGGACCACCGCGAACAAGAUCGAUAGGCUGCAACAAGCAACACCCAGUUCUCAACUUGCCUAACAAUGUUAACGGGCUCUUUUUUUCAUUGUUGUCGAACUUCCUGGCACCUAGUACAGUUUUGUAAAUUACAAUGAAUUUUUGACAAUAAUUACUGAUCAAGAUGAAGAACAUAAUACUCUGACGUGUAUAUUAUUGUAAGCCGUGUGUAUUACCGAAACACAAAAGCAACUUAAUAAAAAAUAAGGAUUACAUUGUGCUGGCGAAAUAACUUUUAAAAUGCUCAUUAAACUCUGAUGUUUAUCGUCAUCAUCAUAAUCAUAAUUAAAUUCCUUUAUCCGGAAACACACACACAACAGUCGGCUGAUUGGUCUCUUGGUCAUUAAUUUUAUGAUUAACCGGCGUGUAUCCCGACCUGGUGGGCACCAGCCAAAGCUGUCAAGCAUUAAGAUGAUUGGGACUUGACCAAAACUGGUUGUAUUUUGUAUAAUAUAU